GAUAAACGCUAGCUACAGGCUUAACACAUGCAAGUCGAGGGGUAACGAGAGGAAAGCUUGCUUUCCUUGUCGACGACCGGCGCACGGGUGAGUAACGCGUAUCCAACCUGCCCCCAACUAGGGAAUAACCUUGCGAAAGUAAGACUAAUACCCUAUAAUUUCCUCAGAUGACAUCUGACGAGGAAUAAAGAUUUAUCGGUUGUGGAUGGGGAUGCGUCUGAUUAGCUUGUUGGCGGGGUAACGGCCCACCAAGGCAACGAUCAGUAGGGGUUCUGAGAGGAAGGCCCCCCACAAUGGAACAGAGACACGGUCCAAACUCCUACGCGAGGCAGCAGUGAGGAAUAUUGGUCAAUGGGCGAAAGCCUGAACCAGCCAAGUAGCGUGCAGGAUGACGGCCCUAUGGGUUGUAAACUGCUUUUAUACAGGAAUAAAGUUAGCCACGUGUGGUUAUUUGUAGGUACUGUAUGAAUAAGGACCGGCUAAUUCCGUGCCAGCAGCCGCCGUAA
rnacentral:rRNA from 1 species